UAGGAAACUGCAAAGCUCAAAUGAUAAUAGA
rnacentral:piRNA from 1 species